GCCCGAGCCUUACGCAAUUUGAGGAGGCUGAACCCCGCCAGGUCCGGAAGGAAGCAACGGUAAGCUCACCCUUGGAUGUGCCGUAACAGCUUGGGCUUU
rnacentral:SRP_RNA from 1 species